UUGGAUAUACCUUACUACUUGGAUAACCGUAGUAAUUCUAGAGCUAAUACAUGCUAAAGUUCCCGACUUCGCGGAAGGGAUGUAUUUAUUAGAUAAAAAACCAAUGCGGGGGGGCAACCCUCCGGUACCAUUGAUGAUUCAUAAUAACUUUGCGAAUCGCAUGACCUCGCGUCGGCGAUGAUUCAUUCAAAUUUCUGCCCUAUCAACUUUCGAUGGUAGUGUAGUGGACUACCAUGGUUGUAACGGGUGACGGAGAAUUAGGGUUCGAUUCCGGAGAGGGAGCCUGAGAGAUGGCUACCACUUCCAAGGAAGGCAGCAGGCGCGCAAAUUACCCAAUCCUGAUACAGGGAGGUAGUGACAAUAAAUAACAAUGCGGGUGCCGUAAGGCACUCGCAAUUGGAAUGAGUACAAUUUAAACCCCUUAACGAGGAACAAUUGGAGGGCAAGUCUGGUGCCAGCAGCCGCGGUAAUUCCAGCUCCAAUAGCGUAUAUUAAAGUUGUUGCAGUUAAAAAGCUCGUAGUUGGAUUUUGGGUCGGGAGGGGCCCGGUCUGCCGAAAUGGCGUGUACUGACUCCUCCCGCCUUCACCUUCCGGAAAUCAGCUUGGCUCUGCCCUUCACUGCGGUGGGGCCACAGCUCCGGAUCGUUUACUUUGAAAAAAUUAGAGUGUUUAAAGCAGGCCGCUUAGUGCCCUGAAUACAUUAGCAUGGGAUAAUAGAAUAGGACUUUGCGCCUAUUUUGUUGGUUUCUAGGCAAGCGAAGUAAUGAUUAAUAGAGACAGUUGGGGGUAUUCAUAUUUAAUUGUCAGAGGUGAAAUUCUUGGAUUUAUGAAAGAUGAACUUCUGCGAAAGCAUUUAUCAAGGAUGUUUUCAUUAAUCAAGAACGAAAGUUAGGGGAUCGAAGACGAUCAGAUACCGUCGUAGUCUUAACCAUAAACGAUGCCGACCAGGAUUGGGAGACGUUACAUGGAUGACUCCCCAGCACCUUGUG
rnacentral:rRNA from 1 species